AGGGUCAUUAAUGAGAGAGGGGCUUCGCGCUCCCGGGGGGUUUCGGCCUCCACCUCUUCACCCACUGCGUACCUACCUUUGUUGCUUUGGCGGGCCACGGGGUUUCGCCUCGCGCCGGCCUCCGGGCUGGUGAGCGCCCGUCGGAGGCCCUCAAAAUUCUGUUUAUAGUGACGUCCGAGUUAAAUACAAAAUAGUAAAAACUUUCAACAACGGAUCUCUUGGUUCCAGCAUCGAUGAAGAACGCAGCGAAAUGCGAUAAGUAAUGUGAAUUGCAGAAUUCAGUGAAUCAUCGAAUCUUUGAACGCACAUUGCGCCCCUCGGUAUUCCGGGGGGCAUGCCUGUUCGAGCGUCAUUACACCCCUCAAGCAUAGCUUGGUAUUGGGUCUCGCCCCUCGGGCGUGCCCGAAAAGCAGUGGCGGUCCGGAGCGACUUUAAGCGUAGUAAAUUUUCAUCCCGCUUUGAAAGAUCGCCUCGCGGCUUGCCAGAACCCCAAAUAUUUUCAUAAUGACCUCGGAUCAGGUAC
rnacentral:rRNA from 1 species